GACGAACGCUGGCGGCGUGCCUAAUACAUGCAAGUAGAACGCUGAAGGAGGAGCUUGCUUCUCUGGAUGAGUUGCGAACGGGUGAGUAACGCGUAGGUAACCUGCCUGGUAGCGGGGGAUAACUAUUGGAAACGAUAGCUAAUACCGCAUAAUAGCAGUUAUUGCAUGAUAACUGUUUGAAAGGUGCAAUUGCACCACUACCAGAUGGACCUGCGUUGUAUUAGCUAGUUGGUGGGGUAACGGCUCACCAAGGCGACGAUACAUAGCCGACCUGAGAGGGUGAUCGGCCACACUGGGACUGAGACACGGCCCAGACUCCUACGGGAGGCAGCAGUAGGGAAUCUUCGGCAAUGGACGGAAGUCUGACCGAGCAACGCCGCGUGAGUGAAGAAGGUUUUCGGAUCGUAAAGCCCUGUUGUAAGAGAAGAACGAGUGUGAGAGUGGAAAGUUCACACUGUGACGGUAUCUUACCAGAAAGGGACGGCUAACUACGUG
rnacentral:rRNA from 1 species